rnacentral:rRNA from 1 species
GACGAACGCUGGCGGCAUGCCUAACACAUGCAAGUCGAACGGUAAGGCUUCCUUCGGGGAGUACACGAGUGGCGAACGGGUGAGUAACACGUGGGUAACCUACCCUUGACUGGGGGACAACAGAGGGAAACUUCGGCUAAUACCGCAUAACGUGCAUUGCCUCAAGGUGGUGUACCAAAGCUCCGGCGGUUAAGGAUGGGCCCGCGGCGGAUUAGCUUGUUGGUGAGGUAACGGCUUACAAAGGCUACGAUAGGUAGGGGUCCUGAGAGGGAGAUCCCACGCACUGGUACUGAGACACGGACCAGACUCCUACGGGAGGCAGCAGUGAGAAAUAUUGGGCAAUGGGCGCAAGCCUGAACCAGCCAUGCCGCGUGCAAGAAGACGGUCCUAUGGAUUGUAAACUGCUUUUGUACGGGAAGAAACACUCCCUCGUGAGGGAGCUUGACGGUACCGUAAGAAUAAGGAUCGGCUAACUCCGUGCCAGCAGCCGCCGUAA